UGGGGAAUUUUGGACAAUGGGCGAAAGCCUGAUCCAGCAAUGCCGCGUGUGUGAAGAAGGCCUUCGGGUUGUAAAGCACUUUUGUCCGGAAAGAAAUCCUUGGCUCUAAUACAGUCGGGGGAUGACGGUACCGGAAGAAUAAGCACCGGCUAACUACGUGCCAGCAGCCGCGGUAAUACGUAGGGUGCAAGCGUUAAUCGGAAUUACUGGGCGUAAAGCGUGCGCAGGCGGUUUGCUAAGACCGAUGUGAAAUCCCCGGGCUCAACCUGGGAACUGCAUUGGUGACUGGCAGGCUAGAGUAUGGCAGGAGGGGGGUAGAAUUCCACGUGUAGCAGUGAAAUGCGUAGGGAUGUGGAGGAAUACCGAUGGCGAAGGCAGCCCCC
rnacentral:rRNA from 1 species